CAACUCAAGGUGCAAAUCUCAUUCCUUUUUCAAAAUGACACCCUACUUUUUAAUUCUCAUCAUGCUGGCUGCCUUCUCCAAAGGUGGCUUCUCCCAGGUAGUUCUGACCCAGUCAGAUCCAAUGCU